rnacentral:rRNA from 1 species
AUUCCGGUUGAUCCUGCCGGAGGCUAUUGCUAUCGGGGUCCGAUUCAGCCAUGCUAGUUGUACGGGUUUAGGCCCGUAGCAAAUAGCUCCGUAACACGUGGUCAAACUACCCUCUGGACCGGGAUAUCCUCGGGAAACUGAGGUCGAUCCCAGAUACUGCUUUCAUGUUGGAACACAGAAAGUCGGAAACGGUCCGCCGCCGGAGGACGUGACUGCGGCCGAUUAGGUAGACGGUGGGGUAACGGCCCACCGUGCCGAUAAUCGGUACGGGUUGUGAGAGCAAGAACCCGGAGACGGUAUCUGAGACAAGAUACCGGGCCCUACGGGGCGCAGCAGGCGCGAAACCUUUACACUGCACGCCAGUGCGAUAAGGGGACCCCGAGUGCGAGGGCAUACAGUCCUCGCUUUUCGUGACCGUAAGAAGGUCUCAGAAUAAGAGCUGGGCAAGACCGGUGCCAGCCCGCCGCGGUAAAACCGGCAGCUCGAGUGAUAGCCACUNUUAUUGGGCCUAAAGCGUCCGUAGCCGGCCGAACAGGUCCGUCGGGAAAUCCACCCGCUCAACGGGUGGACGUCCGGCGGAAACCAGUCGGCUUGGGGCCGGGAGACCAGAGAGGUACGUCCGGGGUAGGAGUGAAAUCCUGUAAUCCUGGACGGACCGCCGGUAGCGAAAGCGUCUCUGGAGAACGGACCCGACGGUGAGGGACGAAAGCUUGGGUCUCGAACCGGAUUAGAUACCCGGGUAGUCCAAGCUGUAAACGAUGCUCGCUAGGUGUGGCGUUGGCUACGAGCCAGCGCUGUGCUGUAGGGAAGCCGAGAAGCGAGCCGCCUGGGAAGUACGUCCGCAAGGAUGAAACUUAAAGGAAUUGGCGGGGGAGCACU